rfam:Nasonia giraulti isolate NG_PA0203 mitochondrial hydrogen-transporting ATP synthase coupling factor F gene, partial cds; nuclear gene for mitochondrial product.
GCUCAAGAGCGUGGUGGCGUUGGCAACACAAGUACGUGCAGCCAAAGCGUACUGGAGUCGCUCCAUUCUUCCAGCUAACUUUUGCUGGAAUGGCAUUCUUCUACUUUCUUAAUUACGGACGCAUCAAGCACCACAAGAACUACAA